GAUGAACGCUGGCGGCGUGCCUAAUACAUGCAAGUCGAGCGAACGGACGAGAAGCUUGCUUCUCUGAUGUUAGCGGCGGACGGGUGAGUAACACGUGGAUAACCUACCUAUAAGACUGGGAUAACUUCGGGAAACCGGAGCUAAUACCGGAUAAUAUUUUGAACCGCAUGGUUCAAAAGUGAAAGACGGUCUUGCUGUCACUUAUAGAUGGAUCCGCGCUGCAUUAGCUAGUUGGUAAGGUAACGGCUUACCAAGGCAACGAUGCAUAGCCGACCUGAGAGGGUGAUCGGCCACACUGGAACUGAGACACGGUCCAGACUCCUACGGGAGGCAGCAGUAGGGAAUCUUCCGCAAUGGGCGAAAGCCUGACGGAGCAACGCCGCGUGAGUGAUGAAGGUCUUCGGAUCGUAAAACUCUGUUAUUAGGGAAGAACAUAUGUGUAAGUAACUGUGCACAUCUUGACGGUACCUAAUCAGAAAGCCACGGCUAACUACGUGCCAGCAGCCGCGGUAAUACGUAGGUGGCAAGCGUUAUCCGGAAUUAUUGGGCGUAAAGCGCGCGUAGGCGGUUUUUUAAGUCUGAUGUGAAAGCCCACGGCUCAACCGUGGAGGGUCAUUGGAAACUGGAAAACUUGAGUGCAGAAGAGGAAAGUGGAACUCCAUGUGUAGCGGUGAAAUGCGCAGAGAUAUGGAGGAACACCAGUGGCGAAGGCGACUUUCUGGUCUGUAACUGACGCUGAUGUGCGAAAGCGUGGGGAUCGAACAGGAUUAGAUACCCUGGUAGUCCACGCCGUAAACGAUGAGUGCUAAGUGUUAGGGGGUUUCCGCCCCUUAGUGCUGCAGCUAACGCAUUAAGCACUCCGCCUGGGGAGUACGACCGCAAGGUUGAAACUCAAAGGAAUUGACGGGGACCCGCACAAGCGGUGGAGCAUGUGGUUUAAUUCGAAGCAACGCGAAGAACCUUACCAAAUCUUGACAUCCUUUGACAACUCUAGAGAUAGAGCCUUCCCCUUCGGGGGACAAAGUGACAGGUGGUGCAUGGUUGUCGUCAGCUCGUGUCGUGAGAUGUUGGGUUAAGUCCCGCAACGAGCGCAACCCUUAAGCUUAGUUGCCAUCAUUAAGUUGGGCACUCUAAGUUGACUGCCGGUGGCAAACCGGAGGAAGGUGGGGAUGACGUCAAAUCAUCAUGCCCCUUAUGAUUUGGGCUACACACGUGCUACAAUGGACAAUACAAAGGGCAGCGAAACCGCGAGGUCAAGCAAAUCCCAUAAAGUUGUUCUCAGUUCGGAUUGUAGUCUGCAACUCGACUACAUGAAGCUGGAAUCGCUAGUAAUCGUAGAUCAGCAUGCUACGGUGAAUACGUUCCCGGGUCU
rnacentral:rRNA from 1 species